CCUACGGGUGGCAGCAGUGGGGAAUAUUGGUCAAUGGGCGGAAGGCUGAACCAGCCAUGCCGCGUGAAGGUCAGUGCCCUUUGGGCGUUAAACUUCUUUUGUGCGGGAGCAAUAAUGGUCACGUGUGGCCAGACGAGAGUACCGUACGCAUAAGCAUCGGCUAACUCCGUGCCAGCAGCCGCGGUAAUACGGGGGAUGCAAGCGUUAUCCGGAUUUAUUGGGUGUAAAGGGUGCGUAGGCUGGGAGGUAAGUCAGCGGUGAAAUGCCCUCGCUCAACGGGGUGAAGUGCCAUUGAUACUGCCGGGCUGGAAUGCGGAUGCCGUGGGAGGAAUGUGGGGUGUAGCGGGGAAAUGCAUAGAAAUCACACAGAACACCGAUGCGAAGGCAGCUCACGAAUCCGCGAUUGACGCUGAUGCACGAAAGCGUGGGUAGCAAACAGGAUUAGAUACCCCAGUAGUC
rnacentral:rRNA from 1 species